CACGCUGAAAACUAUGGUUCUCGUUCGAUCCCUGAAGUUAAACAACGUAGAACCUGUCCAGUACUUAGAUGGGGACCUCUUGGGAACACCGGAUACUGU